UUAAUGCUGGCCACAUACAAGUUGAAUAAUAUAAUUUGACAAUAUACAGAGUAUUUCUAAAUUUUAUUCAAAGACUUUAGUAAUCAGCUCAUAUUUUACAGUGAAUGUUUUAAUAUUUGGUUCGAACCAUGCCUGUUUACUACGGAGGCUUCGUCGGCGGACCUCAAGGCGGAGGCUACUGCCUAUAUUCGUUUCAACCAUGUAACCCAACUACUGGGGGGUGUGGGCCAUGCGGACAACUGCCAGGGCCCUGCUGCAAUCUCUCUUGUUGAACAGUUUCCGCCAUCUUGUGAUGUUAUCGACGUAGAAAAUUUUAACACUGUUGUUUCGUUUGCGGUAUUACUCGUCUUGAUCGGAGCUGUUAUUUUUGGUUAUUAUGGCUUUUUCAUACCUUUUGGACUGUGAAAUAAACUCAUAUAUUAUAUCAAA